GCCGGUCCCGGCGGCGCGGACGACGCGGGGCCGUUCGCGCCGGCGCAGCCGUUCGCCGUGGCCGAUUCGCCGGCGGGCUCCGAGCCCGAGGCCGGCC
rnacentral:tRNA from 1 species